AUUGAACGCUGGCGGCAUGCCUUACACAUGCAAGUCGAACGGCAGCACGGGGCAACCUGGUGGCGAGUGGCGAACGGGUGAGUAAUGCAUCGGAACGUGCCAUUGAGUGGGGGAUAACGUAGCGAAAGUUGCGCUAAUACCGCAUAUUCUGUGAGCAGGAAAGCAGGGGACCGCAAGGCCUUGCGCUCUUUGAGCGGCCGAUGUCAGAUUAGCUAGUUGGUGAGGUAACGGCUUACCAAGGCGACGAUCUGUAGCGGGUCUGAGAGGAUGAUCCGCCACACUGGAACUGAGACACGGUCCAGACUCCUACGGGAGGCAGCAGUGGGGAAUUUUGGACAAUGGGCGCAAGCCUGAUCCAGCCAUGCCGCGUGAGUGAAGAAGGCCUUC
rnacentral:rRNA from 1 species